rnacentral:lncRNA from 1 species
AAAAUUUGAGGAAAAAUGCGAGGGAAAGAAAAUACAAAGGAAAAGUAGAAGGAAAUAAAAAGUGAAGGAAAAUAAAAAAAUAGAUUAAAAGUUGAUAAAUUGUUUUUUUUGUUACUUCAAACUCAUUUUAUUUAUUUUAACUCAUCAAUAUAAAGAUUAAAUAAUUUAAAAAUACAUAAGUUUUUAAUUAGUUUUAAUUAUAUUUGAUUUUCUUUGAUAUUUUUCAUAGGACAACCAAACAUGAGAAAAUCAUUUUCCUUAGCAUUUUUUUUCUUUCCUUUGUACUUUCCGGGAACCAAACAUAGCCUAAAA